UACGAAGGGGGCUAGCGUUGUUCGGAAUUACUGGGCGUAAAGCGCACGUAGGCGGAUACUUAAGUCAGGGGUGAAAUCCCGGGGCUCAACCCCGGAACUGCCUUUGAUACUGGGUAUCUCGAGUCCGGAAGAGGUGAGUGGAAUUCCCGAGUGUAGAGGUGAAAUUCGUAGAUAUUCGGAGGAACACCAGUGGCGAAGGCGGCUCACUGUCCGGUACUGACGCUGAGGUGCGAAAGCGUGGGGAGCAAACAGG
rnacentral:rRNA from 1 species